rnacentral:lncRNA from 1 species
GAACGUGACUUUAUGGAAGAAAGUUCAUGUGAUAUAUAGCUUCUUCGUAGUGAGAAAGAUUGUGGCACACAUUGUUACAUUCAUCUUCUAUUGUGUGGUCUUACCGGCUACGGUUCUUGUACCUGAAGUUACUGUACCUAAAUGGGGAGCGGUUUACAUUCCGUCCAUCAUUACUCUGCUCAACGCUGUCGGUACACCUAGGUAAAAAAAAUAUUCCAAAGAUUUUCUUACGGCUCAAGUGACGUCUCGUUUAGCCUCUCGUUGUUUGUUACACGUAUCUUAUAGGUCACUACAUCUCAUGGUAUUUUGGAUUCUGUUCGAGAAUGUGAUGUCUCUUCACAGAACAAAAGCUACCUUCAUCGGUUUACUCGAAGGAGGAAGAGUUAACGAGUGGAUUGUCACUGAGAAGCUCGGUGAUCUUAAGGCUAAGUCAGCAACCAAGGCUCCAAAGAAGCUUCGUUUUAGAUUUGGAGAUAGGUAAGCUUCUCCACGUGUCUUAUAGGUCACUGAAUCUUAUUUGCACUUUUGUUUCAUUCUAAUAACUUUUCUUUGGCAGAAUCCAUGUGUUGGAACUCGGUGUAGGAAUGUAUCUGUUUUCUAUCGGAUGCUAUGACGCGUUAUUUGGGAAGAAUCAUUAUUAUCUAUACCUUUUCGCGCAAGCAUUCGCCUUCUUCAUCGCUGGAUGUGGGCAGAUUGGGACAGUGGUGCCUAACUAUUGAAUGGAAAAUGGAUUGAUCGAGCUACAAACUGCUCGAGAAUAAGAUGAUGAUUUUAUAUUUUUUUCUUGGCUACUCUUUAAUUUCUUCCUGGUGUGAAUAGAGAGAAUUGAUGAUACGAUUGUUACAGAAGAUGGUGUGUGUAGUUGUGGAAGAUAUGGAUACCUAUAGUAAAGAAGAAUAUAUAUAUUUUCAAGGGGGGUUUUCAUAUUCCUCAAAGACAAUACAUCAUUUCUUGCAAGACAAAAGCUUUUGAUUCCAAUUUCUUUGUAUCAAAUUAUUGUAUUGUACAAAUAUGGAGGUACAUGAUAAAGGAAGUCAUAGUUUCCGAUGCUCCGCCGCCUUUCAAUAAUGCCUGAGAUCUGGUUUCCGCCAUAGUUUCCGAUCGCUUCGCCACCGUUUCCGAGGAAAGAAUGUCUCUGAUACCACUGAUAAAAGAAGUCACUCCUUUAUGAUCGAUCUAAUGUUCUUGAAACACCAAAUCGUAGCUCUCGAGUAAUAGAUCUAUAAGAGAGAAAGAUCUAAAUCCUCAAAUAACAAUCCAUGAAUCGAUAUUAGAAUUCCAGAGGUUUUUAAGAAAGUUUUACAAAUGAUUUCUGAAUGAACUGAAUAGAGUACGCAGACUCUGUUUUAUCUACUCCAAAAGAUGAACUCCUCCGAUCAGCUGGCGCGAAGCCGUUGUAACAAACUCUUAACUUCUCCCUUCCUCCACUAGUUACUCAACACGUGUCUCUUACUUCUCCUGUAUCAGUACACGAUAAUCACAUUCUAUGAAAUAGCUUGCAACAUGCAGGAUUUGAAAGAAUUGUCAUCUUUUGCAUCUUUUAUUCAAACAAACGUUGCCUUUGUGGUCGCUACUUCUAUAAUGUUUGAAGGUUUUCUUUCGAAUGAGAAAGAAUGAUAAAUUGUUUUCUUUAUUGCAUAUAGUGGGCCAUAUAGUGGUAACUGAACGUUUAUAUUGUUUGGUUUCUUCAGUUCAGUUGAAACAUAGUUUCUAGAUGACCAAAUUUUUAUGGGUUUGGACUAAAAAAAAAUUACUAAACCACCAUACACAGAAUAAAACUGGAUCUACAAAAAAAUUGCAAAUUUGCAAUCAUAUCAAAAAUGAUAUUAGUGUAAGUCUUUUUAAUCUAGAUUGGACAUGUAACAAGGUUCAGAAAAGGAAAAAAACAAUUUGCAGGCUGAACAGUGACUAAUUACAUAUACUUUGUGUGUUAAUAAUGUUUUUUUAAUACUAUUAAAUUAUGACUUUUGAAUGUAAGACUAAUUGGAGAGGGUAGAGAUGGGUCAUAUUAAAUUAAUACAUAUAUCUAAGAUUAAAACCUAUGAACGUAUUAUAAGAUAUCAUAAACUAAUAGCACAUGAGUUGAUCACUGUUUUAAGAGAAUCUUAUUUUACAGUAAUUUAAAAGCAUGGGUUUAUUUAUUUAAUAAGAAAAUUAUGUUUACAUAAAGAAAGUUUUUAUUACAUUAACAGAAGUGUCGGUGGGUGUUUUAUACUUUUAUUGAUAGGUCCCAAUAUAACCUAACCUAGCGGAUCUUGAUGUCGACGUAUCGAUUUUGUUCGUGAUCUUCGUGCUCUAGCUUUAAAAUUUUAAAUGUGGAGCCACUUUCUUUUGCAAAUAGUUUUUAUUAGUACUAACAAAUUAUUUUUGAAUGAUCUAGAGGCAUAUUCCAUAUAAUAUAGGCAAUAUCCCUUCUAACAAAUCCCAUAUUAAAUAGAAGAAAACAUUUCGGGAAAUAUAAGAAAACAUCAAGGAAUAUAAAGUUUAAUAUUUUGUUGUCCUUUGUGUUAGGUAUGCCUGCAGUAGGAGUUGGUAAAUAUUUGGUUUGUGUGUCUGGCUUUUUGUUGAUUUUUGAUGAAAAAUAUGCAUUGUCCACACAUUUUCAACAGAGUGAUGUUUUUCCACAUUAGUCAAUAGAUUGUCCACCAGUGAAUCUAUAACUUCUGGCAUUCAAAAGCUGCAGCGUAUUUAGCUUUGAACGAUCUAGCCUUCAUAAAAUAAACACCCGAAUUUUGAAGUAAUUUCUUCGAAUAAAAAAUAAGUUUUGCAUGCAAACAUUCAUCGACAUAUUAAUAUUUAGAAAACCAAAAUAUAAAUAAUCAGAUUAGAACAGAGCUUAGUGUUUAGUGGCGUUGCUUCACUGGCAUCGUGGUCGUGUCCCAUAAUUAGUGCAGAGAACAUAUAGGGAAGGGGCUUGUUUUGUCAUUUAGUAAAUAUAGUAUUAGGUAGAUCAGUCAUUUUUGUUAGUAGAUACGCCACGUGUACUUGCCAGCGCCCUCUAUCUUCCAUGUGCAAUAUCUGGGUCCCACACUGGUCUCUUCUCUACUAGUCUCUGUCACUCUCAUCACUCACUUUUCUUUUUCAAGUAAAAUUUGUUUGUUUUUUUUUACUUCCAGUACUAAUACAACCAGCUAUUGAAACUCGCUUUUAUUUUAUUAACGAUGUCUUUUAGUCUCACGAGCUAUUUUAUUUUAGACAAAAAAAAUAGUAAUAAUAAAAAGAAAUCAUGUGAACUUGUGAAGUAGAUCGACAAAAUCUAACGAGUUGUUGAAAUCUAAUUGGGGGAGAUCAGAAGAGUCUGAGCUGUCUAUAGUUUUUUUUUUUAGCUGUCUAUAGUUUGAUAAUUGAAAAUAUUUAUUUCAAUGUCACCAACUGGUUUUUAAUGUCUUCAUCAAUACCACAUUAAUUGAUUGUUUGCUACGCAAAUAUUAAUUGAAAUCCAUUAUUCAAUUUUUGUUCCUUCUAAUUUUGCAGUAAAUUCGGAUGAAUGUUUAAUGACAAGAAUGCAAGAAAUGUCGUUGGAUUAUCAUUUUACGGUCGAACAAGAAGUUGGUUCUUCUACAUACGCAUUCUUCGGUUUCAACGGUACUUACUUUGUUUCUUUUCAUUAUAUAUUGUUGUCUUAUUCAAGUUUCAUAACAUUUGCUUACUAUCAUUUUAGGGACUGCGGGAAUAUGGAGAAUAUCGGCAUUAAACGAAGCUGGUGGUUGGAAAGAUAGAACGACCGUAGAAGAUAUGGAUUUGGCCGUUCGAGCUAGUCUCAAGGGUUGGAAAUUUUUGUACCUUGGUUCUUUGAAGGUAUACUUUGCCUCUUCAUGAUUCAACAAUGUGUAUGUAUUAGUGGUUGAUAUGCAAAUAGUUUUAUUGAUACAUGUGGUUGUUAAAUAUUAUAGGUUAAAAACGAGUUACCAAGUACAUUCAAGGCGUAUAGGUAUCAACAGCACAGGUGGUCAUGUGGUCCAGCAAAUCUUUUCAGGAAAAUGGCAUUUGAAAUCAUGACCAACAAGGUUUUUACUUUAAACUCUUUUCUUCUCCCUCCACACUAAAAUAGAAAAAUGAACUGGUUAAUUCAGUAAGUUAACCAAUACUUACAUUCAACAUAUCAAACCCAAAAACGUUUCUCUAGUUUUGUAGUCUUGGUUGGUCUCCACAUUUAUUUAAGUUCCCGUUUAAAUAGAUUUUUUUUUCUUUUUGGCAGAACGUGACAUUAUGGAAGAAAGUUCAUGUGAUAUAUAGCUUCUUCGUGGUGAGAAAGAUCGUGGCACACAUUGUUACAUUCAUCUUCUAUUGUGUGGUCUUACCGGCUACGGUUCUUGUACCUGAAGUUAUUGUACCUAAAUGGGGAGCGGUUUACAUUCCGUCCAUCAUUACUCUCCUCAACGCCGUCGGUACACCUAGGUAAAUAAAUAUCCCAAAGAGUUUCUUACGGCUCAAGUGACGUCUCGUUUAGCCUCUCAUUGUUUGUUACACGUAUCUUAUAGGUCACUCCAUCUCAUGGUAUUUUGGAUUCUGUUCGAGAAUGUGAUGUCUCUUCACAGAACAAAAGCUAC